rnacentral:misc_RNA from 1 species
CGAUGGAGUCCAGUCCACACAGUAUGUGAUGCUAUUGUGUUUUUGUGUUGUUGCAUUUAUCAUUGAUAUUUCUGGUUUGAGAUAAAUAUGUUGACUUUUUUUUUACCUGCUUUUGGUUUUGCCAAUUGACUAUUGGGUGGAUUAUGUGCUUACUGCUUUGGUUAUAUUUGUUUAUGUCUUUUCCUUAUGGUUGCUUGUUCUCUUUGUUUGUAUUUGUUGUGAAUCCUAGAAGCUGCGCAGUAAUUUUGGCCUCACGUUAUUCAUGAAAUAUGUUGUUUUCUACUGCUUAAUAAUCUAACCAUUGGACGGCUGCAAUUAUUUGGAUAAGCCAUCUUGCAGUUCUGAUUACUUCAUUCGUGGAUGAGGAUGAGUGCCAGCAGAGAUAUGCAUAUGGUAACUCUUUGCUUCAUGCAUGUUUUUAAUCAACUUUCUGGCGUGAUCAUCUGAUGGCUGUUCUGAUUGGCAGUGCAUCUUGAUGAUGGGCAACUGUAAGGACAGAAACUUGAAAUGACUGCAGGACUGAAUUUCACAUCAGCUCUUAGGGGCUUAAUUGUAGCCCAGAUUGAGGUGCAGUUUCCUGAGCUCUGGCACGACUGUAGUUUAAAAGAGAUUGCUUGGGUUAGGAUUCCUUAAUAUUGUAAACCCAUCCUAUGCAUGGGAAACUAGAGCAGCCAAUUUGUGAAGGAAAAGGAAAUUGGUAGUGAUGUUGAUAUGGUAAAUGUUGGAAUGAAAGUGAUUUUUUUUUUACUUAAUUCAUCUCUGUUUCUUUGCCCAAAAGGAGAAGCUAAUGAAGGUCGGAAAAUCAGAAAAGAACUUUGUGAAGCAGGAUGGGUGGAGAGUAAUAUUUUCCUUUGCGGCAGACUUUGAUGGUGUAUAUCUUUCUGUAUCAUGAAGUGAAUUCAUCAUUACACUCUAAAGAUGACUACAAAUAAACGUUCCAAUUGGCAGUGAUGUUAUGAAGGAGUAGUUGCUAAGAACAAAUUUAACCGUUGAAGGAAUACAUCUAACUCGCCAUUUGCAUGAGAGGAAAUUCAAGAAGUAAAGUUUGAAGUAUUUCAUAGCAUUAGAUUGAUAUCACAUGCUGCAUUUUAUUUUGUUGAUGUAUGACUUUGACCUGAUCCUGACAAGUAAUUAACUGCUAAGUAUUUCUUAUUAUACUAAUUUUUCUUUUCUUUUCUUUUUAAUCAGGUUGCAUGUUUUCUCUAAAUCUUUUUGUAGUACUUGGUCGGCCAACUGGUCUCAUUGCCUUUUGCUAUUCAUUGUCCUGUUACUAAAUCUAGUUAAUUUUUUUUUCUAAUGUGAUUCUAAUUUGCAGGUCGAAAGCAUUGUUUUGAGCAUCAUA